rnacentral:rRNA from 1 species
GAUGAACGCUGGCGGCGCGCCUAACACAUGCAAGUCGAACGGUUAAAGCACCUUUUUGGUGCGUAUACAGUGGCGACCGGCUGAGUAACACGUGGGCAACCUGCCCUCCUCUUGGGGGUAGUCACGGGAAACCGAGGAUAAUACCCGAUACUUCUAUGUGGCAGCAUGACGACCUUGAGAAAGCUUUGGGGGGGCAGGGUGGGACGGCGGCAUGUUGGCUUGUUGGUGGGGUAGAGGGUUACCGAGGCUAUGAAGGGUAGCGGGGUUGAGGGACCGAGAAGCGAGAUUGAGACUGAGGCACGGCACAGACACCUACUGGACGGAGCAGGGGGGAAGCUUGCACGAGGAGCGAAAGCCGGGUGCAGAGACGCCGCGGGCGGGACGAAGGUGUUAGGGGUGAAAACCGCUUUCAGCAGGGACGAGGCGAUAAGUGACGGUACCUGCAGAAGAAGCCACGGCUAACUACGUG